rnacentral:misc_RNA from 1 species
CGGGCCAGUGCUUUAAAGAUG